ensembl:lncRNA
GGGGAGGAAUGCGGAGAACCUGCGGUGGUGUUGUGAGACUGCACCUGGACUCCAACUGGUUCAGACCCAGGAAGUGCCAAACCAGUCCAGGUCCUUUAGGACAUCUAUUAUGGUGAAGUUUCUGGGACGUCCCAGGAAGACUGUUCUCUGAGGUCUUUACACGAUGGAAAUGCGGAUGCUGCGAUGGUGCCUAGGCCUAACACGAUGGGACCACGUCAUGAACACCGACGUUAGAAAGAGGAUGGGAAUCGCGCCAAUCACAGAUAAGAUGCAAGAAGCGAGGCUGCGGUGGUACGGAGCGAUGAGAACUCAGUGGUGAGAACAGCACUGCGGCUCAGCCCCCAAGGACGUCGACCUAGAGGCAGACCAAAGCGGAGAUGGAUGGACCGAAUCAAGGACGACGUGAAGAAGAUCGAAGCCGAUCUGACCGACGCCCUUGACCGACCCAAGUGGAGACGACUUUGCAGAAAAGCGGACCCUGCAACCGAGCGGGGAAAACGCUAGGAGGAAGAUUGUAGGUCUUUACCUGACAAUAUAAAGCACCUUGAGGUGACCAUUGUUGUGAUUUGGCGCUAUAUAAAUCAAAUAUAAUCAAAUUCAAUUCAAUCAUCUAAACUGCGG